rnacentral:rRNA from 1 species
UACGUAGGCAGCGAGCGUUGUUCGGAGUUACUGGGCGUAAAGGGUGUGUAGGCGGUUGUUUAAGUUUGGUGUGAAAUCUCCCGGCUCAACUGGGAGGGUGCGCCGAAUACUGAAUGACUAGAGUGCGGGAGAGGAAAGUGGAAUUCCUGGUGUAGCGGUGAAAUGCGUAGAUAUCGGAAGGAACACCAGUGGCGAAAGCGGCUUCCUGGUCCGACACCGACGUUCAGGCACGAAAGCGUGGGGAGCAAACAGG